GAGAGGAGAACGGGAAACAGGACUUCUUCCACGCGCUCUUUCGUGUGGUUGCAGGUGAUUCACGGAAGACGCUUCACGUCGCUUCCCUUCCUGCGGUCGAUCGAUCUGUGGAUGAACGUGUGGGGAGAUGCACUCUGGCCCAGAGGUGGGAGCCCAGCAAGGGACAGUGGUCCAGAGGUGGGAGCCGAGGCCUUGCUGGGUGCAGAGGGCAUCUGCUGGGGGAGCAGCCCAGCACCUGGGGAGCGUGAGGCUGGGGAGCCUCGAGCGGAAUCAGAGCCCAGGCUGGAGUCUUGGAACCAACUCCCAGUGGAUCCCCAACACAACUGCAAAUAUGAAACCUGCCACCAAGAGACCAGUCAGCAGCAAGAAUGCAAAGACCCCUAUUAGUGCUCAGAUCCCAUCCUCCUUUCCCAUCCUCUGGGAAAAGGUCCUUGGAAGGAAGACCCGUCGUCGAGCUGGGUCAGAGGAAGAGCAGACCAGCCACUUUGCUGCACCAGAAAGCAAGAAUGGAGAGUUGAUCAGAACCCUCGGUGAAGCAGGAGUCCCCGAGUGCCGCCCACACAGCCCCGUGGUCCUGUAGGAGCAUGCGGCCUCGUGACAGCAGAGCCACCUGCAUUUGUAUAGGCACAGCCCGUGGUGUUGACCUAGGGACAAAACCUUCAGAACCCAGCCCUGGUGGCCGGUGACAUGGCUGUGUGAAUGGAUCCAUAAGUCACUUGGAGAUCUAAGGCGAGAAGUGGGAUACCCACACAGUUUCAAAGUCUCCCCUCACAGAAGUCCUACUAUUUACAGAGGGAAAAGAGUAACUUGGCUGUGGGAAAGACUGGCAGAUGCCACCAAAUCCUGUGACCAAAGCAAACAUGAGUAAUCAAAGAAAUGGACAACUCACUGGCAGUGAGGAAAAUACCACGUCACGUCAGUGCUUCUGCUGCCAAAGGACCCGGUCACGAGGCAGCUCACACACGCAGAGGACAGAGAGCCUUGGAGCCCCAGGUGUCAAGGUCAUGGAAGACAAGGGAGAUUGAAACUGAAAGAGAGGAACUGCCCCUUCCUGACCUUCCAAGGGACCCAACCCGAGUACCAUCUGGCCAGCAUCCACCACUCAGAGCCUCACUUGGACCCACAGCAAAACCUGGUCGCAGUCCUACGAUUCCAGGUAGUGACGGGUGGGGUCCCCUUCCUGAGGGUGAUCAGCUGUGGUUUUGUAGGAGGACGCCCCUGUUUGUAGGAAGCACAUGGUCAUGUACGCUUUAGUGUGCCCACGUCCUUACUCCCCAGCAGUUCUGGGAAAUCCGAUCUCUUUCUUCUUUUUCUUUUUUGUACUGGGGGUUGAACCCAGCGGUGCUUAACCACUGAGGCACACCACCAGCCCUUUUUAUUUUUAUUUUUUUUGUUUUGAGAUAGGGUCUUGCUAAAUUGCUGAGGCUGGCCUUGAACUUGUGAUCCUCCUGCCUCAGCUUCCCAAGUUGCUGGGAUUACAAGUGUGUGUCACUGUGCCCAGCUGAGAAGCA
rnacentral:lncRNA from 1 species